CCAUGACGAAGCACUUCCCUCGGGGCCCUGGCCGGAUGCCCAGGCACGUCCCAAGGGCUCAGCCCUGCGGUUGUGUUGGUAGGAACUGAGGGGAAAAGGCUGAACAACCCCAACUCUCUCAGCCUGUCCUCAUGCUCCAGCCCUCAGAUCAUCCUUGUGGCCUCCUCUGGACCCGUUCCAACAGCUCCAUUUCCUUCUUAUGUUGAGGAUUACAGAAGUGGACAUGAACCAACGUGCUCCGGAGAGGAGGGCUGAGGCACUCAUUGACCUGCCAUCAUCUCCAGAGCCCAGCUGGACGCCUCACUUAUCUUCUCCCCUUUUUUUUUUGGGUGAGGGAAGACCAGUCCCAGCAUCCCCUUUACAGCAUCGCCUUUAUAGCACCCAAAAAGCAGUGCCCAAAGUGGGGGCCGUGGCCAGUCCGACCCACGCACGCAGGAGCGCCCCCGCAGCGGCACAGGGGCCAGCGCUGUGUCCCUGCCCCGCUGGAACGACUCCGAGUCUUUAUAAAGCACUCCUGGUCAUGUAAAUCACUUUAUUGUCCAACAAGGCUGCUGUUCCCACCUGCGGUUUGCAUUUGGACAGAGGCGUUUGGAGUCUACAUCACAGCUAAUUAAUAGCCAAGAAAUAAUUAAUAAUAAAAGAAGAGACUAAA